rnacentral:tRNA from 1 species
GGUUGUGGCUCUGUGGUAGAGCACUUGCCUAGCACGUGUGAGGCCCUGGGUUCGAUCCUCAGCACCA